GACGAACCGAGCGAACGUUGUUCGGAAUCACUGGGCUUAAAGGGCGCGUAGGCGGGUUCAUAAGUCUGUGGUGAAAUCCUCCGGCUCAACCGGAGAACUGCCUCGGAUACUGUGGGCCUCGAGGGUGAUAGGGGUAUGCGGAACUAUCGGUGGAGCGGUGAAAUGCGUUGAUAUCGAUAGGAACUCCGGUGGCGAAGGCGGCAUACUGGAUCACUUCUGACGCUGAGGCGCGAAAGCCAGGGGAGCAAACAGG
rnacentral:rRNA from 1 species